CGCGAAACCUUUACACUGCACGAGAGUGCGAUAAGGGGACUCCCAGUGCGAGGGCAUACAGUCCUCGCUUUUCUGGACCGUAGGGAGGUCCAGGAACAAGUGCUGGGCAAGACCGGUGCCAGCCGCCGCGGUAAUACCGGCAGCACGAGUGAUGGCCGAUAUUAUUGGGCCUAAAGCGUCCGUAGCCGGCCAGACAAGUCCGUUGGGAAAUCCACGUGCUCAACACGUGGGCGUCCAGCGGAAACUGUCUGGCUUGGGGCCGGAAGACCCAAGGGGUACGUCCGGGGUAGGAGUGAAAUCCCGUAAUCCUGGACGGACCGCCGAUGGCGAAAGCACCUUGGGAGGACGGACCCGACGGUGAGGGACGAAAGCCAGGGUCUCGAACCGGAUUAGAUACCCGGGUAGUCCUGGCCGUAAACGAUGUCCGCUAGGUGUGGCGCAGGCUACGAGCCUGCGCUGUGCCGUAGGGAAGCCGUGAAGCGGACCGCCUGGGAAGUACGUCUGCAAAGAUGAAACUUAAAGGAAUUGGCGGGGGAGCACUACAACCGGAGGAGCCUGCGGUUUAAUUGGAAUC
rnacentral:rRNA from 1 species